rnacentral:rRNA from 1 species
AGGUAAGUACUUGUACUUAUGCUGACGAGUGGCGGACGGGUGAGUAAUGCUUGGGAAUCUGGCUUAUGGAGGGGGAUAACUACGGGAAACUGUAGCUAAUACCGCGUAGUCUCUGAGGAGUAAAGUGUGGGACCGAAAGGCCACAUGCCAUAAGAUGAGCCCAAGUGGGAUUAGGUAGUUGGUGGGGUAAAGGCCUACCAAGCCGACGAUCUCUAGCUGGUCUGAGAGGAUGACCAGCCACACUGGAACUGAGACACGGUCCAGACUCCUACGGGAGGCAGCAGUGGGGAAUAUUGCGCAAUGGGGGGAACCCUGACGCAGCCAUGCCGCGUGAAUGAAGAAGGCCUUCGGGUUGUAAAGUUCUUUCGGUGAUGAGGAAGGCAAGUGAGUAAAUAGCUUACUUGAUUGACGUUAAUCACAGAAGAAGCACCGGCUAACUCCGUGCCAGCAGCCGCGGUAAUACGGAGGGUGCGAGCGUUAAUCGGAAUAACUGGGCGUAAAGGGCACGCAGGCGGCUAUUUAAGUGAGAUGUGAAAUCCCCGAGCUUAACUUGGGAAUUGCAUUUCAGACUGGGUAGCUAGAGUACUUUAGGGAGGGGUAGAAUUCCACGUGUAGCGGUGAAAUGCGUAGAGAUGUGGAGGAAUACCGAAGGCGAAGGCAGCCCCUUGGGAAUGUACUGACGCUCAUGUGCGAAAGCGUGGGGAGCAAACAGGAUUAGAUACCCUGGUAGUCCACGCUGUAAACGAUGUCGAUUUGGGGAUUGGGCUAUAAGCUUGGUGCCCGAAGCU